rnacentral:rRNA from 1 species
AGGGAAUCUUCCACAAUGGACGCAAGUCUGAUGGAGCAACGCCGCGUGAGUGAAGAAGGCUUUCGGGUCGUAAAACUCUGUUAUUGAAGAAGAACGUGUGUGACAGUAACUGGUCAUGCAGUGACGGUAUUCAAUCAGAAAGUCACGGCUAACUACGUGCCAGCAGCCGCGGUAAUACGUAGGUGGCAAGCGUUGUCCGGAUUUAUUAGGCGUAAAGCGAGUGCAGGCGGUCUUUUAAGUCUGAUGUGAGAGCCUUCGGCUUAACCGAAGAAGGGCAUCGGAAACUGGGAGACUUGAGUGCAGAAGAGGAGAGUGGAACUCCAUGUGUAGCGGUGAAAUGCGUAGAUAUAUGGAAGAACACCAGUGGCGAAGGCGGCUCUCUGGUCUGUAACUGACGCUGAGGCUCGAAAG